rnacentral:lncRNA from 1 species
AUUACAUUAAGGGUCAAUAAGCAACAAGGAAAUUUUUCCAAAAAAAACGAUAGAAAAUAGUAAAAUUCUUUAACCAUCCUUUAGGUAAGCUUUUAAAAAAUGGCCUAAAUUAAACAGAGAGCAUUGACCUAGCAAGUGAUGAUUAUAAAUACAAUAUAAGGUCAAAAUGAGAUCAUUUUGUAACACAGAAAUAAUGAAAACUUGAAGGCAAUUAAAUGGAGUCGAGACACAGAAAUAGAAGUUUAUUGUUGUUGGAGCAGAGGAUUCCCUCUGAAGCAAGUAUCACUUGAUCACUGAUAAAAUACCAGAAUGAAGAAAAUGACUACAAUAUAAUAUGAAAUUAAGGCCACAGGACCAUUGUAGGUUAAAGUAAUCCUGUAUUGACCCCAACGCACUAGUAACAUCAAAGGUGCCACGUGCAUUAAUGCGUCAGAGAUCCAAAUUCUUCAAUAAUGGUAUUCAGGGUUGAGAAAAUUUCUCGUGGAUGCAGAUUUUGUGAAGAGAAUAAGGAAAGUCGUUGCAUAGAUCUCGAUGGCUGUCAAGUUUUAGAAGAAGAAUUAGCAUCUUUGAAACCGUCAUAGCUACUAGCCCUUAUCACAGCCAUAGGAUUGUACAAGUUUUUUAUUGGAUCACGUCUUGAAGAAUACCCAAAAGAAAAGAAGUGUGACUUAGCCUUAGGCCAAUAUUGGAAAAGCCGGAGGAACCAAUAUGGACUUGGAAAAAAGGAAUUGCAAAUUAUAAAAGAGAUCCCGGAUAAAAAGAGGCGCUACUAGCAAAUUGAAUUCAUCCACUUCCGACCCCUUCAAAAUGAACUUAAAUCGAUUCCCGCCAACCGCGGGAUCCGUCGGACCACGAGCGAGCGAAGAAAACCAAAAGCGAACGUCGGCUAACCAGAUCUUUAGUUUUGCAUUUAAAUUGUAUAGAAUAGUCUAUGCUUAGUUAAACUGGAGAGGAUUUCUUCUUGAUUGCUUCUUUAAGCGAUUUCCUUAAGAGAGGAUCCCCUUGGGCAAUAGAUUUAAAGAAAAUGGAACUUCUUAUAGAAAAGAAGGAAGGGAAGCAGUUCAUACAUCAUAUUCAACAUUCAACUGCUUACAGCAGUUGAAAAUAGAAUGACUUAUGGAGCCUUAAUAGACCCAUUUAUUUGGAGAUGAGUUCAAUAGAGCGUGAAAUGCAGUGAUCCUUAACGAAAGCACAUCUGAAGAUGAGUGAUUUAAUUUCCAGAAUUAGUGGUUGUCUUGAUAUUUUUUUAGUUUCAAUAGUAAUACAAUCUGUAAGAUAUGUGUUGAACGUACAUAUUUCAAGAUAUUUUAACAACAUCUAUGUUUAAUAACAAUACUUAUAAACUUUAUUAACUAAUUUAUUUGUUUAAAAUAAUUGGUGUUUAAAAUAAUAAAAAAACGAAUCAACAAUCCCUUUGUCAGAAGAUAUUAUUCUAAAAAGCAUUAGACUCUUUGAGUUUGCUAAAGCUGAAUAUGACUGGGACUAUCAACAAGAAAUCACACAGAAAAUAUGAUUCGAAUUUUAAUAAAAAUUGACAAUACUGGAAUAACUUUUGAUAAAACCAAAAACAUUCUUAUUUUUAAGGAAAAAGAUUGGAGGGAAUUUGUCUUCUUUAAUCAAAGCAAUACGCAGUUCAAGUCUUGACAAAAUUCUAAAAUUGUAGUUAUAACAUGAUGUAUGUAUUAAACUUCAUUUAAGUGUAUAUAAUGUUUAGUUGCAAAGGAAUAAAUUAUGUAUAUUUUAAAAUAUCUUUUUAUGUAGGAACGCGAAGAAAAAACCAUCUCUGACGAACGGUGAAUUAAACCCUUUAUCAGAAAACCAUAAAAUAAAUCAUAUGGGUCAACUAUGGCUUGCAUCGGUAAUUCGCGCCUUUACUGAAAAAAAUUGGGGUACUGGAGUUACUGGCGGAUAUUCAUAAACCAACUUAAUAGAAGAACUAAUGCAACGACCCCCUUACGACGCAUUACGAGUAUAAAAAAAAGAAAUUCCGGACUUUUAUCAACGAGGAAACAAAUUGAUUACGGUGGUAGCGCAGGAGGCUCCCUCCCUCUCUCCCUGUCCCUCAUUCCGGAUCCAACUGGGCCUAAUUACUUUGCUAGGUACCCUCACUGACUCACUACUACAACUAGACUCGGUCUGAUGAUGGUAAUUCCGGUAAUGCCUGAUGCUUCCUCCACGGUUUGGUGAUGUUAGUUGCGUUGUUGUUCACGCCCGUCGCGAAGCGGGGUGCUAUUUUAACAUAUUUUAUGGAUUAGCUAAUGGUGACAUGUCUUCACAUAGAUGAUUAUCCCGUCACGUAAAUUUAAGAAUCUUAUUUAAGUCUUAAAUAUAAUUGACUUAGAUAUCGUU